UAAACAGAAAAUUAAAGAUAGAAAUGGGUUCAUAGAGACAUGUUUGUAUGUGGCGUUAAUAGCGCCGUUUUUUGUUGCUUUGUUUUUCUUUUCU
rnacentral:ribozyme from 1 species